GACGAACGCUGGCGGCGUGCUUAACACAUGCAGGUCGAACGGAAAGGCCCUGCUUUUGUGGGGUGCUCGAGUGGCGAAAGGGUGAGUAACACGUGAGUAACCUGCCCUUGACUUUGGGAUAACUUCAGGAAACUGGGGCUAAUACCGGAUAGGAGCUCCUGCUGCAUGGUGGGGGUUGGAAAGUUUCGGCGGUUGGGGAUGGACUCGCGGCUUAUCAGCUUGUUGGUGGGGUAGUGGCUUACCAAGGCUUUGACGGGUAGCCGGCCUGAGAGGGUGACCGGCCACAUUGGGACUGCGAUACGGCCCAGACUCCUACGGGAGGCAGCAGUGGGGAAUAUUGCACAAUGGGCGGAAGCCUGAUGCAGCAACGCCGCGUGCGGGAUGACGGCCUUCGGGUUGUAAACCGCUUUCGCCUGUGACGAAGCGUGAGUGACGGUAAUGGGUAAAGAAGCACCGGCUAACUACGUG
rnacentral:rRNA from 1 species